GCGGCCGUUCGACUGAAAGGGGCGGCUCCGCAGAGAUUUGGCCAGGUUAGUGACAGCGAAUUGGUUUGGAGGAACAGCUGCUGUCAGGACAGGCUUCCAGCGAGAUGGGACAUGAAGGGGUUCCAGCCAUGCCCCGUGGUUCCACAGCUGCUGGAGUGACUUAGCAGUUGGCUAGGCAUACCCUGAACUACAGAAGAUGUAUGCUGGGCCAGAAGCAGGCCUUCUUCCUGCAGACUUGGAAGGAGCUGAUGACAAAGGCCUGCCAACAGUGCUGUGACUGAUCCCAUCCAGGAUACUGCCUUACAUUUCGUCAUCGUGUCUCUGUAGCCUUCUUCUCGACUCUGGCAGUGUCUCAGACCUUCCGUUUUUGAUGACCUUGACAACUUUGAGGAGUACUGAUCAGGGUUCCAGUCUCUUCUACAAUAACCACCAAUGUUUUGUUCAACCUUUCAACAUUUCCAGUGAUGUCCAUCCUCCCAAGGUAGGCCAUUCUAUUUUUAGAAGCUUUUUUUAUUUAGAAAUACAAAGUUUAUUCUUGUUUU